rnacentral:rRNA from 1 species
GAUGAACGCUAGCUACAGGCUUAACACAUGCAAGUCGAGGGGUAGCAUGUUGGUUGCUUGCAACCGAUGAUGACGACCGGCGCACGGGUGAGUAACGCGUAUCCAACUUGGCCUAUACUUAGGGAUAACCCGUUGAAAGACGGCCCAAUACCUAAUGGUUUAUAAUAGUUGCAUGACUUUUAUAAUAAAGAUUUAUCGGUAUAAGAUAGGGAUGCGUCUGAUUAGUUAGUUGGUGAGGUAACGGCUCACCAAGGCAUCGAUCAGUAGGGGUUCUGAGAGGAAGGUCCCCCACAUUGGAACUGAGACACGGUCCAAACUCCUACGGGAGGCAGCAGUGAGGAAUAUUGGUCAAUGGACGUAAGUCUGAACCAGCCAAGUAGCGUGCAGGAUGACGGCCCUAUGGGUUGUAAACUGCUUUUAUGUGAGAAUAAAGUUAACUACGUGUAGUUAUUUGCAUGUAUCACAUGAAUAAGGACCGGCUAAUUCCGUGCCAGCAGCCGCGGUAAUACGGAAGGUCCAGGCGUUAUCCGGAUUUAUUGGGUUUAAAGGGAGCGUAGGCCGUUUGGUAAGCGUGCUGUGAAAUUUAGAGGCUCAACCUCUACCGUGCAGCGCGAACUGUCAGACUUGAGUGCGUAGUAGGUAGGCGGAAUUCGUGGUGUAGCGGUGAAAUGCUUAGAUAUCACGAAGAACUCCGAUUGCGAAGGCAGCUUACCGUAUCGCAACUGACGCUGAUGCUCGAAGGUGCGGGUAUCGAACAGGAUUAGAUACCCUGGUAGUCCGCACAGUAAACGAUGGAUGCUCGCUGUUGGCUUUUAUAGUCAGUGGCUUAGCGAAAGCGUUAAGCAUCCCACCUGGGGAGUACGCCGGCAACGGUGAAACUCAAAGGAAUUGACGGGGGCCCGCACAAGCGGAGGAACAUGUGGUUUAAUUCGAUGAUACGCGAGGAACCUUACCCGGGCUUGAACUGCAGGAGAACGAUUCAGAGAUGAUGAGGUCCUUCGGGACUCCUGUGGAGGUGCUGCAUGGUUGUCGUCAGCUCGUGCCGUGAGGUGUCGGCUUAAGUGCCAUAACGAGCGCAACCCCUUUUCUUAGUUGCCAUCGGGUGAUGCCGGGCACUCUGAGGAUACUGCCACCGUAAGGUGUGAGGAAGGUGGGGAUGACGUCAAAUCAGCACGGCCCUUACGUCCGGGGCUACACACGUGUUACAAUGGGGCAUACAGAGUGUUGGUUGCAUGUAAAUGUAAUCUAAUCUUUAAAGUGCUUCUCAGUUCGGACUGGGGUCUGCAACCCGACCCCACGAAGCUGGAUUCGCUAGUAAUCGCGCAUCAGCCAUGGCGCGGUGAAUACGUUCCCGGGCCU